AGCGAACGCUGGCGGCAGGCUUAACACAUGCAAGUCGAGCGGGCACUUUCGGGUGUCAGCGGCGGACGGGUGAGUAACGCGUGGGAACGUGCCCUCUGGUUCGGAAUAACUCAGGGAAACUUGAGCUAAUACCGGAUACGCCCUUUUGGGGAAAGGCUUGCUGCCGGAGGAUCGGCCCGCGUCUGAUUAGCUAGUUGGUGAGGUAACGGCUCACCAAGGCGACGAUCAGUAGCUGGUCUGAGAGGAUGAUCAGCCACACUGGGACUGAGACACGGCCCAGACUCCUACGGGAGGCAGCAGUGGGGAAUAUUGGACAAUGGGCGCAAGCCUGAUCCAGCCAUGCCGCGUGAGUGAUGAAGGCCUUAGGGUUGUAAAGCUCUUUUAUCCGGGACGAUAAUGACGGUACCGGAGGAAUAAGCCCUGGCUAACUUCGUG
rnacentral:rRNA from 1 species